rnacentral:rRNA from 1 species
UGGGGAAUAUUGCACAAUGGGCGCAAGCCUGAUGCAGCCAUGCCGCGUGUGUGAAGAAGGCCUCGGGUUGUAAAGCACUUUCAGCGAGGAGGAAGGUGGUGAACUUAAUACGUUCAUCAAUUGACGUUACUCGCAGAAGAAGCACCGGCUAACUCCGUGCCAGCAGCCGCGGUAAUACGGAGGGUGCAAGCGUUAAUCGGAAUUACUGGGCGUAAAGCGCACGCAGGCGGUUUGUUAAGUCAGAUGUGAAAUCCCCGGGCUCAACCUGGGAACUGCAUUUGAAACUGGCAAGCUAGAGUCUCGUAGAGGGGGGUAGAAUUCCAGGUGUAGCGGUGAAAUGCGUAGAGAUCUGGAGGAAUACCGGUGGCGAAGGCGGCCCCCCUGGACGAAGACUGACGCUCAGGUGCGAAAAGGCGUGGGGGCAGCAAACAGGAUUAGAUACCCUGGUAGUCCACGCUGUAAAACGAUGUCGAUUUUGGAGGUUGUGCCCCUUGAGGCGUGGNUUCCGGAGCUAACGCGUUAAAUCGACCG